CCUCCCCUCUUUUCUGUUCUGCAGUGCAUGUGUGUGUCAGGGGGUGUGGCUGGCUUCUCCUGCAGCAGCAGAUGAGGCACACCUGUCUUCACUCACCUCAUCUUCCUGUCUAUAAAAGCCUGGUCUUCACUCCACUAUGCUGCCAGAUAAUUCCGUCAUGUUCGGUCGUCCUUUGUGCCUCACCGUGUGCCUGAGUUUUUUCAAUCCAUCCUUCGGUGAAUAUUCUACGAGCCAGCCAGCUCCCUGCCUCCACUGCCUGCUCUUUUGUUUUUUCUUGUUAUUAAUAAACCUUUUUUUGUUACUUACC